rnacentral:rRNA from 1 species
CCUACGGGAGGCAGCAGUGGGGAAUAUUGGGCAAUGGGCGCAAGCCUGACCCAGCAACGCCGCGUGAAGGAAGAAGGCUUUCGGGUUGUAAACUUCUUUUAAGAGGGAAGAGCAGAAGACGGUACCUCUUGAAUAAGCCACGGCUAACUACGUGCCAGCAGCCGCGGCAAUACGUAGGUGGCAAGCGUUGUCCGGAUUUACUGGGUGUAAAGGGCGUGCAGCCGGGAAGACAAGUCAGAUGUGAAAUCCCGCGGCUCAACCGCGGAACUGCAGUUGAAACUGUAGUUCUUGAGUACUGGAGAGGCAGACGGAAUGCGUGGUGUAGCGGUGAAAUGCGUAGAUAUUAGGAGGAACACCAGUGGCGAAGGCAGUCUGCUGGACAGCAACUGACGCUGAGGCGCGAAAGCGUGGGGAGCAAACAGGAUUAGAUACCCUUGUAGUC